GAUGAAGAACGCAGCGAAAUGCGAUACUUGGUGUGAAUUGCAGAAUCCCGUGAACCAUCGAGUCUUUGAACGCAAGUUGCGCCUCAAGCCAUUAGGUUGAGGGCACGUCUGCCUGGGCGUCACAUAUCGUUGCCUGAUGCCAGUUUCCUCGUGAUGGGUGACUGUGCAGGGCGAAUGAUGGCUUCCCGUGAGCAUUGUUGCCUCAUGGUUGGUUGAAAAUUGAGUCCUUGGUAGGGAGCGCCGUGAUAGAUGGUGGUUGAGUGACGGACGAGACCCAAUCAUGUGAGACCCCUACCGAAUUUGGCCUUCAUGACCCACAAGCGUCUUUGGAACGCUCAUGACGAGACCUCAGGUCAGGCGGGGCUACCCGCUGAGUUUAAGCAUAUCAAUAAGCGGAGGA
rnacentral:misc_RNA from 1 species